rnacentral:rRNA from 1 species
CAGUCGCCGCGGUAAUGCGUAGGUGGCAAGCGUUAUCCGGAAUUAUUGGGCGUAAAGGGCUCGCAGGCGGUUUCUUAAGUCUGAUGUGAAAGCCCCCGGCUCAACCGGGGAGGGUCAUUGGAAACUGGGAAACUUGAGUGCAGAAGAGGAGAGUGGAAUUCCACGUGUAGCGGUGAAAUGCGUAGAGAUGUGGAGGAACACCAGUGGCGAAGGCGACUCUCUGGUCUGUAACUGACGCUGAGGAGCGAAAGCGUGGGGAGCGAACAGGAUUAGAUACCCCAGUAGUCCCUGUCUCUUAUAU